CAGCCGCCGCGGUAAUACGUAGGUGGCAAGCGUUGUCCGGAAUUAUUGGGCGUAAAGGGCUCGCAGGCGGUUUCUUAAGUCUGAUGUGAAAGCCCCCGGCUCAACCGGGGAGGGUCAUUGGAUACUGGGAAACUUGAGUGCAGAAGAGGAGAGUGGAAUUCCACGUGUAGCGGUGAAAUGCGUAGAGAUGUGGAGGAACACCAGUGGCGAAGGCGACUCUCUGGUCUGUAACUGACGCUGAGGAGCGAAAGCGUGGGGAGCGAACAGGAUUAGAUACCCCUGUAGUCCCUGUCUCUUAUAC
rnacentral:rRNA from 1 species